rnacentral:rRNA from 1 species
GACGAACGCUGGCGGCGUGCCUAAUACAUGCAAGUCGAGCGAAUCUUUAAAGCUUGCUUUAAAGAUUAGCGGCGGACGGGUGAGUAACACGUGGGCAACCUGCCUGUAAGACUGGGAUAACUUCGGGAAACCGGAGCUAAUACCGGAUAAUCCUUUUCCUCACAUGAGGAAAAGCUGAAAGAUGGUUUCGGCUAUCACUUACAGAUGGGCCCGCGGCGCAUUAGCUAGUUGGUGAGGUAACGGCUCACCAAGGCGACGAUGCGUAGCCGACCUGAGAGGGUGAUCGGCCACACUGGGACUGAGACACGGCCCAGACUCCUACGGGAGGCAGCAGUAGGGAAUCUUCCGCAAUGGACGAAAGUCUGACGGAGCAACGCCGCGUGAGCGAAGAAGGCCUUCGGGUCGUAAAGCUCUGUUGUUAGGGAAGAACAAGUAUCGGAGUAACUGCCGGUACCUUGACGGUACCUAACCAGAAAGCCACGGCUAACUACGUGCCAGCAGCCGCAGUAAAAC